rnacentral:rRNA from 1 species
GACGAACGCUGGCGGCGUGCUUAACACAUGCAAGUCGAACGAGACGAUUGAAAGCUUGCCUUCAAAAGCCGAGUGGCAAACGGGUGAGUAACGCGUAGACAACCUGCCUUUGAGAUGGGGACAACAGUUCGAAAGGACUGCUAAUACCGAAUGUUGUAUAUUCUCCACGUGGAAGAUGUAUUAAAGAUGGCCUCUAUUUAUAAGCUAUCGCUCAAAGAUGGGUCUGCGUCUGAUUAGCUGGUUGGUGGGGUAACGGCCUACCAAGGCGACGAUCAGUAGCCGGUCUGAAAGGAUGAACGGCCACAUUGGGACUGAGACACGGCCCAGACUCCUACGGGAGGCAGCAGUGGGGAAUCUUCCACAAUGGACGAAAGUCUGAUGGAGCAACGCCGCGUGAGUGAAGAAGGGUUUCGGCUCGUAAAGCUCUGUUGUCGGGGACGAAUGUGCAGUAUUUGAAUAAAGUAGUGUAAUGACGGUACCUGACGAGGAAGCCACGGCUAACUACGUGCCAGCAGCCGCCGUAA